rnacentral:rRNA from 1 species
UAGGGAAUCUUCCACAAUGGACGAAAGUCUGAUGGAGCAACGCCGCGUGAGUGAGGAAGGGUUUCGGCUCGUAAAACUCUGUUGUUAAAGAAGAACAUAUCUGAGAGUAACUGUUCAGGUAUUGACGGUAUUUAACCAGAAAGCCACGGCUAACUACGUGCCAG